rnacentral:rRNA from 1 species
AGUGAACGCUGGCGGUAGGCCUAACACAUGCAAGUCGAACGGCAGCACAGAGGAGCUUGCUCCUUGGGUGGCGAGUGGCGGACGGGUGAGGAAUACAUCGGAAUCUACUCUGUCGUGGGGGAUAACGUAGGGAAACUUACGUUAAUACCGCAUACGACCUACGGGUGAAAGCAGGGGAUCUUCGGACCUUGCGCGAUUGCAUGAGCCGAUGUCGGAUUAGCUAGUUGGCGGGGUAAAGGCCCACCAAGGCGACGAUCCGUAGCUGGUCUGAGAGGAUGAUCAGCCACACUGGAACUGAGACACGGUCCAGACUCCUACGGGGGGCAGCAGUGGGGAAUAUUGGACAAUGGGCGCAAGCCUGAUCCAGCCAUACCGCGUGGGUGAAGAAGGCCUUCGGGUUGUAAAGCCCUUUUGUUGGGAAAGAAAUCCAUCUGGUUAAUACCCGGGUGGGAUGACGGUACCCAAAGAAUAAGCACCAGCUAACUUCGUGCCAGCCGCCGCCGUAA